AGUGAACGCUGGCGGUAGGCCUAACACAUGCAAGUCGAACGGCAGCACAGUAAGAGCUUGCUCUUACGGGUGGCGAGUGGCGGACGGGUGAGGAAUACAUCGGAAUCUACUUUUUCGUGGGGGAUAACGUAGGGAAACUUACGCUAAUACCGCAUACGACCUACGGGUGAAAGCAGGGGAUCUUCGGACCUUGCGCGAUUGAAUGAGCCGAUGUCGGAUUAGCUAGUUGGCGGGGUAAAGGCCCACCAAGGCGACGAUCCGUAGCUGGUCUGAGAGGAUGAUCAGCCACCCUGGAACUGGGACACGGUCCCGACUCCUACGGGGGGCAGCAGUGGGGAAUAUUGGACAAUGGGCGCAAGCCUGAUCCAGCCAUACCGCGUGGGUGAAGGAGGCCUUCGGGUUGUAAAGCCCUUUUGUUGGGAAAGAAAAGCAGCAGGUUAAUACCCCGCUGUUCUGACGGUACCCAAAGAAUAAGCACCGGCUAACUUCGUG
rnacentral:rRNA from 1 species